rnacentral:ncRNA from 1 species
AGGCACGACACGGGGUGCCCGGACCGUCCGGGCUGAGAUCACACCCGCAGAACCUGAUCCGGGUCAUGCCGGCGGAGGGAGUCGCUGUUGCAGCGC